rnacentral:rRNA from 1 species
GAUGAACGCUGGCGGCGUGCCUAAUACAUGCAAGUCGAGCGAACAGACGAGGAGCUUGCUCCUCUGACGUUAGCGGCGAACGGGUGAGUAACACGUGGAUAACCUACCUAUAAGACUGGGAUAACUUCGGGAAACCGGAGCUAAUACCGGAUAAUAUAUUGAACCGCAUGGUUCAAUAGUGAAAGACGGUUUUGCUUUCACUUAUAGAUUGAUCCGCGCCGCAUUUGCUAGUUGGUAAGGUAACGGCUUACCAAGGCAACGAUGCAUAGCCGACCUGAGAGGGUGAUCGGCCACACUGGAACUGAGACACGGCCCAGACUCCUACGGGAGGCAGCAGUAGGGAAUCUUCCGCAAUGGGCGAAAGCUUGACGGAGCAACGCCGCGUGAGUGAUGAAGGUCUUCGGAUCGUAAAACUCUGUUAUUAGGGAAGAACAAAUGUGUAAGUAACUAUGCACGUCUUGACGGUACCUAAUCAGAAAGCCACGGCUAACUACGUG